GAUGAACGCUGGCGGCGUGCCUAAUACAUGCAAGUCGAGCGAACAGACGAGGAGCUUGCUCCUCUGACGUUAGCGGCGGACGGGUGAGUAACACGUGGAUAACCACCCUAUAAGACUGGGAUAACUUCGGGAAACCGGAGCAAUUCCCGGAUAAUAUAUUGAACCGCAUGGUUCAAUAGUAAAAGACGGUUUUGCUGUCACUUAUAGAUGGAUCCGCGCCGCAUUAGCUAGUUGGUAAGGUAACGGCUUACCAAGGCAACGAUGCGUAGCCGACCUGAGAGGGUGAUCGGCCACACUGGAACUGAGACACGGUCCAGACUCCUACGGGAGGCAGCAGUAGGGAAUCUUCCGCAAUGGGCGAAAGCCUGACGGAGCAACGCCGCGUGAGUGAUGAAGGUCUUCGGAUCGUAAAACUCUGUUAUUAGGGAAGAACAAAUGUGUAAGUAACUAUGCACGUCUUGACGGUACCUAAUCAGAAAGCCACGGCUAACUACGUG
rnacentral:rRNA from 1 species